AAAUCUGCUGAACCUCUCAAAUCUAUUUGGAAACUGUUUUUUGUUAGAGUGCUGCAUUCUUACACACAUGUGAAAUUGCUAAUUCCAAGUUGGAUAUUGCAGAGGACUGCUCAGAACUUCCAACAGAAUCAGAUAUUGACGCAAAAAAAAGGAAAGCGAAAAGGUCAUUACCAGUUUUAUGGAAUGAAUUGUGUGAUUCAGAUUCCGAUUAUAUAAAAUCUUAAAAUGGAAAGAAGUUUUCGGUAUCAAUUUCAACCUCAAACCUGGAGUUUCCUACUCCUCCUCAGUUGCAAUCCGACAACCAAACUACACUACCAUCAUCAAUAUUAACGCCAGUGCUUACUAUAGCACUGCAAGUAGAGCAGUUAUCACCUGAUUUGGUCAAUUGUCAUGUUGGAGGAAAUGAUCAUCGAAAACUAAUAUUAUUAGAAGAGAUUAAACAAAAUAAUCAAACUAUAAUUUUUCUUCUGCAAUGAUUAUCAGCACAACAGCAGCGUGGUAAUAUAGAAACAAGUUUUGAUGAGUUUGGGCUUCCUGUUUUAUCAAUGGAACAUUUACAAAAACUAGAAACAGAUUGCCUUGACAAUGACCUCCGAGGAAAGCUUAUGCUGUUCGGCGUAAUCCUACAAUAUGUCGCGGUACGGAUGCAAGGUUGCUUGUGCCAUUAAAGCAUGGCUUCGAUUCGCGAAAUUUGUGUGGAGGGAGGAGAAGAAACAUCAUUUUAACGAUUUUAGUUAUAUAGUUUUAUAUAUAGUUUAUGAUUUUUUUGUAUGUGUGUAAUAGUUUAAAUUAUUUUGUAACGAAUAAACAUUUAACUAGAAA